rnacentral:rRNA from 1 species
UACGAAGGGGGCUAGCGUUGCUCGGAAUUACUGGGCGUAAAGCGCACGUAGGCGGAUUGUUAAGUCGGGGGUGAAAUCCUGGAGCUCAACUCCAGAACUGCCUUCGAUACUGGCGAUCUCGAGUUCGGGAGAGGUGAGUGGAACUGCGAGUGUAGAAGUGAAAUUCGUAGAUAUUCGCAAGAACACCAGUGGCGAAGGCGGCUCACUGGCCCGAUACUGACGCUGAGGUGCGAAAGCGUGGGGAGCAAACAGG